GGAUGUGAUGGCACUCUGGCUGUGAUGUCAGUCACCCCAUUGAUUACCUGGAUUGGUUGGGCUGAUCUGGCUGGGUAGGUGGAUAUCCCCUUCAUGUGCAUCCUUCCUGGGCUUGGUCAAAGAUGACCUUCCCUCUUAGAGCGGCACCAUUCUUUGGUCAAGGGUAUACCAGCAGUUGCGUUCUCCUGCUAUAAUUUCCAAGUGAGCUCUCAAAGAUGCAAAUUGAACUCUCUCUUUGACUGACUGUUAAAACACAUGGGUCUGUUUUUAAUC
ensembl:misc_RNA 7SK 7SK RNA